GCAGAGGGAUAGGCGGAGGGGAGGAGAGAGGGUUGCUGGUCUGGUCUCGGUCUCUAGACGGAGGGAGGGAGGGGAGGGGCUCGCGCUGCCGAUCCCAAGGAGCGGCGGCGGCCGGGCGGCGGCAAGGAGACGCCGCGCGGGUCGGCCGGCUCCGGGGGCGGCGGGGCGGCGGGCGUGGCCUCGGGUCGUCGCGGAGGGAGGGAGGGAGGGCGGGACGGCGCCGACCAGGGCGGCGGACCUCGCUGGGGCCGCUGGCCAGGUAUCCNNNNNNNNNNNNNNNNNNNNNNNNNNNNNNNNNNNNNNNNNNNNNNNNNNNNNNNNNNNNNNNNNNNNNNNNNNNNNNNNNNNNNNNNNNNNNNNNNNNNNNNNNNNNNNNNNNNNNNNNNNNNNNNNNNNNNNNNNNNNNNNNNNNNNNNNNNNNNNNNNNNNNNNNNNNNNNNNNNNNNNNNNNNNNNNNNNNNNNNNNNNNNNNNNNNNNNNNNNNNNNNNNNNNNNNNNNNNNNNNNNNNNNNNNNNNNNNNNNNNNNNNNNNNNNNNNNNNNNNNNNNNNNNNNNAGACAAAAGGACUAAGAAGACAGCCUACUCAAAAAAAAAAGAUCUUAUGCACAGACAUACUACUCGCGAACGACAUCAUCUAACCCAUAACGCUCCUCCUACGUAGGUCGCUGCCGACAAGGAACUGCUCAUCAACGACGCACUAAAAGGGUCACGCACAAGCUCAUAUGUGCACCUUCCCUAAAACGGACCAUCCACAAACACUAUUACGAACUUCCCCGUUUAGAAGUGUUUAGCGUCAAACUGAAAAAAGUCUGCUCGUUUACAUGUACAAUCGUUGUCGCUUUGUACAAUCCGACUGCUGUAUACACAAAUUAGACGUGACGGAACCGGACUUUAGUAGUUUCGAAUAUCACCAUCACACGUCAAACUCUCGUCGUCCUCGAAAGAGAGCCAACAUGACCGGGUUUAAUCAUGAUCACCUUUCAUAACAACCGUACUAUCUACAGGACUUAAAACAAAUACUAACCCCUGUAUCACCAUGACAACGCGACACAACAACUAAAAUAAUAUUUAUCAACCUGGGAUUUUAUAAUAAUGGCAAAUUUCACUGGCAAAGAGGAAAACGUACGAUCGGCCAACGCGGGAGACCACCACCUAGAGCCCGGUUGAUAAGACCUACGUAGAUACUGUACCACCUGUUCCGUCGUCUUUGCUCAGUCGCACUCCACCGUCGGCUCCCUCAACAAAACACCCUACUUCGUAACCAUUUCUGUUCGGGUCUCCUAGACGUCUACGCAACGUUCCUCAACGCGACAAUAUUACUGUAGUGACAGUACACAAACUUCUUUCUACAAUUGACACUGGACCUUUUCCUACCAAACACCGGUUUUUAACUUCGACUCCAGAGAUGAGGACGGGUGGUUCUAAGUCAAGGAAACUUAAAACCCACAUUGGAACGACAAACAAACCUACCGUUCCGACCACUCUAACCACUUCAUAGACUUGUGUCUUGACCGUACCUCUCUCGCCGAACACCGAGUGUCCCUCCUCCAUACGACAGUAAACUGGCACCUAAGACCUUCCCCCGACAACCUCUGUUCUUAGUCAAAGGGUCCUACCUUCCUACGGUACUUUUACCCCCGAACAGUCUAAACCCUUUGGUACUGUGACUGUUCAAAGGUGUUCCACGACUACGGGACUCAAACUAGCUACUAUUAGUACUCGACCCUUCCCUAACAAAAGACCGUUUAUAGCUACUUCUCCACAGGAAGGGGCAACUACUUCGAAGCUAGGGAAGGAAGAUGGUCUUCUCGAUAUACCUACAAAAACAUCUUCUAUCGUUCAGUACGUAUCUCUUUAAUUGAGUUCUAAGUGACCUUCCUCUAUACGAAAGUACACUCGCGCUACGGUCUAAAGCAUGACUCCGAAGACCUCUGCUCUUAGUUGUAGUAUCCUACCGCCACAGUUUCCCAGUCCAAAGUAGAUAAACAUUUCUACGUUUAUCAGGCUCAAAUUUACGAACACCAGAGAAAGGACUUUAUCUUCAAGAUGCGGUUGUCCGACUGUUUCUUAUGUUCCAGAAACUUGAUGGGGGUCUCUAUAUGGACCGAUCUAGAAGGAUAUUGGGUGGAACGGAUCUACCUGAAACAGCAUCACCGUUCCUUAGUAGACGACACACGGACCCGGUAGUUCUAAGAAGACCACAGUUUAGUGCAACAGGUCUAGUAAACCAUGUUCUCGAGUUACGUAUAUUGAGAAGGUAACUGUUUGGAACGAGACGGUUAAAACAACUUUGACGGUUACUACUUCUUAGUGUUUUAUUUUAAAGCCUCAGUAAUUUACGGAGGUUCGCAUCCUUAGGUUCUUCUCGGCGGAGUAGUUCUUUAGCGCGAGGACGCCUUGUACUAGUAGUUUAUUUGUUUCCUUCGUCAUCGUGUACGUUUAGAUUCUUCCAACUCUCAAGCACGAGUAAUCAACUUUCGUGGAACUAAUUCAAGGGUUCGUUUUGAUGGUUCCAUUCUUCACCGUAGUUGUCUGGUCACUUAAGCUGACGGACCCCGUCAGAUCUUUUCGACCACCUACCAAAACCAGUCUUGACACUUGGAAGAUGGAGAUUAAGAGUAGACUAAAGGGAACUUUUACCACCCUCUAGUUUGUUUUCUAGACCCUUCUUUCUCGUCGGGUAACAAGCUUUCCGAGCUUCAAGUUCUACAGGUUUUUUAUUCAAGGGACGGAAAAGACAAUGGUCUAUACGUGGCCUACUUAACUUACCGCUUGGAUGGAAAAGUCAGUACCUACCACGAAUACCGAGGCGUCUUCCAAUGUAUCCUUUGAAGGGAUUCAACCGAGGAGCACGUAAAGAGUUACAAAGACUACUACGAGUGUCUAGACACGUUGUAUACAGAUAGGUCUGACUGUACGUCGUCAAUCUGUCCACGAACCUAUCACAACGAGUUCUUUGUACAGGACGCAUGUACACACCUCUCAAACGAUUUAGUUAAAGGCUUGGAAGAGAAUUAUUACCGCCACAACCUAAAAGUGGGCUGAGACAAAACCUCCAUCGGAGACAAUGUACACUUUUGUUGUGGAGACGUUCGGUACUACAAUUUGACGCACCCUUGGGUAGAAUAGGACGACAUAACUGGCUUUCACUAGAAGUACGUAGACUAAAUAGAUAAGGACUGAAACCUUUUUUAGUACGCAGUAGUAGUUGUCUAAAACUCGUCGUCGGGUUUUGACACUCCCCACUACUCUUGUGUUCUUCGCUUCUCUAAUUAGUCAGAGUACGGUAUUAACCAAUACAACCACUCCCUUUUCACGUUCCGAAUCUCUUCAGGUUACGUCACUCCUUUUGAUUCUACAACCUUUUCGUCUUUCCGGCUUUCUUUCUACCUUAUUUCCCUUUAUUGUAUUCCCUACCUUCAAGGUGGUUUUAAAGUAGUUCACUUCGAAGUUUUAUGUCCCAGAAGAGGCUACUAGGUAGAAGUGAACAAAGUAGUCCUGGAAAUUUCAAGUCAAGAACAAAACUCCAGCAUUGAAGACGGUGUGUCCCAUAGUCAUACGUACUUGUACCGACCCACGUCCCAGGAAGACAUUAACCGUUCCUCUUUUGCUCACGUGAAUUGUUACAUUUUAGUGGCUCCACGUUCUUUUCACCACCAGAAUCUCCCUUCUUCCUAUACCACGCCCUAGGUGUACACUUCGUUCUUUCGUUCUUCUUUUUAUAUCGUCUACGGUAAAAGUAACUAAGACCUAGCAGAUGAAAUGGAAUAGUCGAGCGAUGACUAGACCGUUGUAGAGUAUGCUUACUUGUGCCAAUAGCAUCAGGUCGAUAACUUAUAUGUAAAGUCUUAGGUCGGCGAUAUAGAUGGCUUAAUGGACCUUUACGACGACCGAGUUGUCCACCCCAUAGACAUGGCGUCGGAUUUGCACGACGUACCCGUACAACACUACUAACGGUUUUCACCGCGACGUAUGGUAGACUUAACCGUCUGCAGUAACCUCUUUUGUCUACCUGAACGUUCCUGUUACUACUGUUCCGCAAACGACUAACAAGAUAUGGUGUUCGCUUCUGUUUGCGACUCUAGUUACGACUCGAACUUGAAAGUCUACGAAGACGACUACUUCGACUGUUCCUACCUAGUUUGAGUUUUCGAAGAUCCCGUGGCAGGACCUGUUUAGAAUCUAGCUUGUGUAUAGAUGUAGCAUUGGCUUCCUUAGUUAGGUAGCUACUCUCGUACCAUACGUUGACGUUCGGAGGAGUUCUUCCGGCUUACCCAACAUCUCUACCGACAAACUUGUCUUACGAGUUGUAACUUACACGUUUUGCAUGUACAGGUACGCUCCUCGUUACAAGAUUAGUCGUCAAAGUUUCCGCGUUGAUACGUUUUUAACGUACCAAGGUAAGACCAUUCUUCCCGAUACCUAACUUCAACGUUCUUCUUCAUAGACUUCCCGCCAAGGAAUAACUUAUACAACCGCUCCAGGAACUAUAUUGCUGAAUACUUAGGGCGGUUUCUCUAAUACGAAGAUUCCCGUUCUUCGUAAAGAUGAAAUACCGUGAUCUACCACCACUCCAUUAUCUACGGACGUGGUUCCCUUUGAACCCGGCCAAGUAGUUGGUAUCGACGUCAGGAUUAACAGCGUGUCUCUUCACCUACCAAUUACCUCUUCAAACGUAACCUUAAAAACGAUACUCCUUGUAGUUUUUCCCACUUCUUAAUUGCAAACUAAUGUUGAUACAAGCACAUAGACCACGACGAGGAGUUUUUACAAAAACACCGUGACGGUUUACGGCCCCAAUGUAACCACCUCUGUAUAGUCCCAGACCAUAGUCGUGGGUUGUACAACGUCUUCGUCUCAUAAAACUUGGGUGCCAGUGAAUGUUCCUACGGCUCCUUUACGAUCCUUUACGUACAAGAGUACCACGUUUAGGAUAACAACAACUCGAACUCGUACUUUGGAGGUAGGUUGUUCUUCUAAGUUUAUUGACGUAUGGACAUUGGGGUCUGAGACUUGGAGUGGUUUGAAGGGGACAUUGGGGUCUGAGACUUGGAGUGGUUUGAAGGGGAUAGAAUAAACUUUUAUCACUCGAUCUUUUAAGGACCCUUUACACCUCGGGGGUCCUACGGCUUCUGGGGUGGGCAUGUGGACAGGUACACGGGUCUUGUUAUCUAUCAUGAAACGUCGUCAAUGGUCAUAUACUGUGAGUCGGUAAUCUUAAGAACGGCUUCCGAGGAUUGUGUUACCUACCUAGUCUCCGAGGUUUACACUACUUAGUUAGUCGUGCAUCGAGGCUAAACCCCGUUUUGGACCACCAUGGACCAAAGGUACGAUUCUUCUUUUUGUUAGAUUUUCUAGUCUCUCUACAUUUUAGUAGUAGUACAAGAUGACUGUUACUUUUAUGAGACCCUCAACUUCGUUCUGACUUGUUGGAUGACCUAGCUCUACCUCCAUAAUCGUCUGCUUUUCUAAGUUGUUUACCUAUAAACUCCGACGAAGAUAAACACUGGCGUCGUCGUGCACUGUUACGGCGCCGGCGUCGCCGUGCACUGUUACGGCGCCGGAGUCGCCGUGCACUGUUACGCCGCCGGCGUCGUCGUAUACUACGCUGGCGUUACCUUGUACUUUUACGACGCUGGGGUCGUCUUGCACUGUUACGACCCCCGUGUAGAUUUUCACGUUCCCUAGACAGCAAUUAAGAACUACGUGAAGAUUUUUGUUUUAGUGCGAGUCAGGACAACCUAUAGUAGUUAUGCUUACCUAACGUUUACGAAGUAUUAUAUAACUUCGUCUUAGCUCUGUGGAAAGAAGCUUCUGGAUAUUAUGCCUUCGAAGACUUCCACAACCUCAAAGAACGAAACUUCCCUUAGGACUCUCGACUUUUUUAUUUACUUCUUCGGGGUGCACUCCUUUACCUUUCUAAGUCCCUGAGCUACAACUUUAACUGGGCCGUAUCACUAUUUGUCCAGGUUUGAUAACGAGCCGUGAAGACACUCUUCACCUAGGUAGGAAUAUACCUACCUGGACAAAGUUGAAGUUUUACCACAUGUCUAAGUAUAAGGUUAUCUUCUUUCGCGUUCUCGGCAACCCUAAUAGUUGGUCUUAGGGUGAUAUUUUACCAACCUAGUGAUCAAGCCUUUCAGAUACCUCUUAACCCAGAAGUCCGACCGAACUGGUCUUUAUCCAGCGUCGGACACUACCCUUCGUCGAGUUGUCCGUGUCUGCUACUACACGGAGGACCCAAACUCGGAGUCGUCCCAGCAAGACAUCGAGGUCCUAAGACGGUGGGAUUGAACUUAUAAAGUAUACCCUAAGGGUAGCGAGUACAAGUCGUGAACCCUUGGGGUCUUCAACUUCCUCCACCGUUGGCACCGGUCUUUACCUUUCAGCGUGGACCACACGGAAAAUAAGGAAAGGGUGUCAACGCUGCUCCCUCAGGAACAGGAAGAUGAAGUUGAGUCUACAGGACAGUACUGCGGUACUCCGUCUUGUUGUCAAGUCCUGUAGCUCCUUCUCCAAAGCUGUCUCCACCUUCCCACGUUUCCUUACCCUCCUUACCCCGUUCUUGCUCUAUAGGCAUACUAGUAGUUCCUUCUUCUAAGGGUUCGUUAGUAGUAUCUAGACUUUCUACCGUCGGGACCGGGCUGCUUGUACUACCACCAAGUCCUAGAUCCCCGUCUGUUACUUACUGGGUCGGGGACCGUAGCUUGUAGUUAAUCAACACACAUAUGUACCAUUAAGGAAGGACAAGUAGUCUUCACAUGUGUUCGUUUGACACAAUCGAAGAGUAAGAUACAUUGUCUUCAAAAGAUGACUAAGGUUGUCAUCGUCUUGUACACGAUGUCUAUCCGGUUUUAACGAUUAAGUAAGCAACAGUUGAAGAACUACAAGUCACACUCGCCGUUAGUUAGCCUCCUUCCUGAUCAUGCUAAAAGUAACAUUAAAAUUAAAAAAAAUGACCAGCAAGACGGAGGUUAACAGAAAGAAACAUGACCGGCAAAAAGACCUAUUAUUAAUAGUCAAGAUUCUACGGGAAGCCCACAGAAAGAACUUCUUUUUUUGAAGAACUACAGGUACUAUGGACACAAUAAAACAAAACAACACACGGACGUCGAAAACAAACGUCCUUUCACUACGCACGAAAACUAUAA
rnacentral:rRNA from 1 species